GAUGAAGAACGUAGCGAAAUGCGAUAAGUAGUGUGAAUUGCAGAAUUCAGUGAAUCAUCGAAUCUUUGAACGCACAUUGCGCCCCUUGGUAUUCCAUGGGGCAUGCCUGUUCGAGCGUCAUUUCAACCCUCAAGCUCUCCGGAGUUUGGUGUUGGGGCGCCUGGGGCUUUUCGACCUCAGGGCCCUCAAGUCCAUCGGCGGGACCGCCAGGACACUGAGCGCAGUAGUAUUAUUUCGCUCGGUAGGAUCUUCCACGGCGGGUCGAUCUGGCCGCUAAACCCCCCAAUUCUCACCAAAGGUUGACCUCGGAUCAGGUAGGAAUACCCGCUGAACUUAAGCAUAUCAAUAAGCGGAGGA
rnacentral:misc_RNA from 1 species